rnacentral:rRNA from 1 species
GAUGAACGCUGGCGGCGUGCCUAAUACAUGCAAGUCGAGCGAACGGACGAGAAGCUUGCUUCUCUGAUGUUAGCGGCGGACGGGUGAGUAACACGUGGAUAACCUACCUAUAAGACUGGGAUAACUUCGGGAAACCGUAGCUAAUACCGGAUAAUAUUUUGAACCGCAUGGUUCAAAAGUGAAAGACGGUCUUGCUGUCACUUAUAGAUGGAUCCGCGCUGCAUUAGCUAGUUGGUAAGGUAACGGCUUACCAAGGCAACGAUGCAUAGCCGACCUGAGAGGGUGAUCGGCCACACUGGAACUGAGACACGGUCCAGACUCCUACGGGAGGCAGCAGUAGGGAAUCUUCCGCAAUGGGCGCAAGCCUGACGGAGCAACGCCGCGUGAGUGAUGAAGGCCUUCGGAUCGUAAAACUCUGUUAUUAGGGAAGAACAUAUGUGUAAGUAACUGUGCACAUCUUGACGGUACCUAAUCAGAAAGCCACGGCUAACUACGUG